UAACACGUACACAUCGUCUUGUGUUAAGAAAAGAAAAUAGAGAACGUGUCUGUCAAAUCUGUGCUGGGAUGUUUUUUUACUCCCCUCACCUUUUCUGUGAAUGAAAGGGUAACAAAUCUGUGGUCGUGACUCCUGUCUGACGUCACGAGGAGUAAAAGGAGGGGAAGCGCAGUCACGACGCAUUCCUUCAGAAGACGCGCGGACACGCCCCAGCGCGCGCGGCCUCUUUAUAACGGUCCUCAGUCCAGCACAGACAGUCAACAGAGCUGAAAAGCAGAGCUGAGGCACUGUCAAAACCCCUGAUAUAGUGAAAUAAGGACUCAGUGAAAACUUUAAGAUAUGGAAAUGUACCAAUCUGGAUUUUACACAGAAGACUUCAGAACUCAGGAGGUUCCUGCUGGUUUCGACUUCAGUUCAUAUGCAAAGGACCCGUCCAACAGCAGUAUGCCGAAAACUACUCCGAGCCUCAGAAGGAGCUGUUGCACAAAGGUCAUGUUCUCACAGUCGACUCUGGGCUGUUCAAUCUGGACUCUUUCCCUGAGUUCAGCAACUGGGCAGCAUACACUAAUAUUCCAGAAGGAAUGGUUGCAGACAGACAGCAGGUUGGCUUUCAGGAAUCAACUCAAACCUACCAGAACCUCGUCCCUCUCUGCACUCCAGCACAAAGCAGUACAUUCAGUCCCACAAUGGACACCAGCAGCCAUUACCAACCUGGGAAAGGCCCAAGUCACAGAGGAGCAUCCGGGACCGCCAGCCUUGACCAUUUGGGUGAAUCAGACAGGACAUAUGGUUUGUAUGAAGCAGAGCAGCAAAGCAGGUCUUCAUAUUGGUCCGACUACCCCUCACCCGGUUACUGCAGCUCCAUGCCGCUUAGCCAGCCUGCAUCCUCCUCAUCCCCUCCGGUCAGUCAGUCCGCUGAGCACUUCUGCCCCCGCGUGGUCAAAAGACGCAGCGCUCCUCCUCAAAGAUCAGACAGAGAGGGCGAGAUCACGCCAAUGUCCGCCUACCCAGGAUCUGGACCCAUCCAGCUCUGGCAGUUUCUGCUAGAACUCCUGCUGGAUUCUGCUUGCCACACUUUUAUAAGUUGGACUGGUGAUGGCUGGGAGUUUAAAAUGUCAGAUCCCGCUGAGGUGGCGAAGCGGUGGGGCCAGUGUAAAAACAAGCCUAAAAUGAACUAUGAGAAGCUCAGUCGUGGCCUGCGUUACUACUACCACAAAAACAUCAUUCACAAAACGGCGGGAAAGCGCUACGUCUACCGCUUUGUCUGUGACGUGCAGGGCAUGCUUGGAAAAACUGCACAUGAAGUCUUGGCAAGUCUAAACAUCUCCCCGAAUGCAGCAUCUCCACAGUCUGUAGCAAACACAAGCCGCUCAGAGGAAACCACAGAGUCCUGGACACAUUAGAGGAGGAAUUCUCGAAGGAUUGGAAAGAACUUUAAAACAUCAGACGUCGUGCCUUUGGAGGAACAAAGAACUGACUGACUUGAGAUUUAUGUACUUUAAUUUGGACUUUGCAGCAGAUUGCCAACAACAGAUCUGAAGUCAGCUUUGAAAUCAAGCUAGGUGCCUUUAGAAAACCAUGUUAGCUACCUCUUUUCACAUUGGAACAUUAAUCUUGUAAAUGUAUUUUGUUUUAUCUUAUGUAAACUGAUGGUUUGACAUCAGAUUGUGAACUCUUGUAAAUAAAUGUAAUAUGACAGCU